UAUUCUUUUUUUCUUCACCUUUCAGGACCUGAGCUAAACUUUCUGAGUAAAAUAUAACUAGGGUUAAUAUGUGGGGCCCAUGUAACUAUUUUCCUGCUCCCAAAUACCAAAAUGACGACGCUUUAAUUUUUUUUUCCUUCUCCUUGAUUUCAUUCCCGCGUUCCAAUCUACCUAUUUCCUAUUCCUCUGUUAUACUCUAAACUCUCAAGCGACAUUGUCAGAGCAAGCUAACUGUCAAAGCUUAAAAGCUUCAUCAAUGCUUCGAUUUUUUUUUGCAUCUAAUUAAGGUAUGGUUUUGUUUCAUCCUUAAGUUGUUAUUUUUUCAUGAAAUUCAAUUGAUUUCUUCUAUGGGUACAAUCAUCUUACCCACCAAUUGAAGAACCUUCAUUGAAGAAAAUCCACAAUAGACCCACUGUAAAGAGAAAGCCAUCUCUAGGGGAGGUUGAUGGUUGUAAGCUGUCAAGGAAAGGUCAAAUAAACAAAUGCAGCAAUUGUGGGGAGGUGGGGCACAACAAAAGAAAAUGUGUUGCCCCGGUAAAGCAACCAGGUUGCAUAAAAGUUCUCAAGAAACCUAUAACAACACCCAGGAAGAAAAAGAAGCAACAGAAUUGUGUCUCAACAACACUAGUGAAGCCUUCAACACAACAAACCCAAUGCUCAAUUGCUCCACACAACAAAGGUGUUGGAGUGUACACUUAUCCAAGUGGUUUUCAGAGGCAAGCAGAGUUCAUCAAUACCGUUGGGAGUCAAUCAACCAAAGCAUCAAACUCAACACAAUUGGAUCAAAUGGGUUAAUUAUACAAGAGACCAACACAAUUGUUCUACCUUGACUAAGACAAGGAUGGAAGAUAGAAGAUGGAAGAAGAUAAUUUGAAAUAAGAAGAGCUUGAGUAGAAGAACUUUUUGUUGAAAGAGAGAUGUUAUAAACUCUGUUUA